rnacentral:rRNA from 1 species
AUCUGGUUGAUCCUGCCAGUCGCAUAUGCUUGUUUCGAGGAUUAAGCCAUGCAAGUGCCAGAGUAACUGGCUUGAGAGGAGGUCUGCGUACGGCUCAUUAAAUCGUCAAUUAUCUACCCGGCGGAGUGCAGGCUUGUACUGCACCAGUUGGAUAACUCUGGUAACUCCAGAGCUAAUACACGUACGACCGAGUUCGCACCCGCUUAAACCCCGAGGGGAAACCCAAGGGGUGGGUGUGGACUGCCGUUGGCCGGCAUGAAAACCAAUGCCCGCAAGGGCAGCAGUCCAGACCGCCGAGCCAGGCCAACCUAGCGAAAGCGCACGCCCUCGAGGCGGCGCGGCGCCGGACGAAUUUAUGCCCUAUCAGCUUCGAUGGUAGGGUAGUGGCCUACCAUGGCGUUGACGGGUAACGGGGAAUUGGGGUUCGAUUCCGGAGAGGGUGCCUAAGAAAUGGCAGCCAUACCUAAGGGAAGCAGCAGGCGCGCAAAUUGCCCACUGCCAACCCUGGUGAGGCAGCGAAGAAAAAUAGCAACUUUACUGCGCAUACGCGCGGUGAAGAUUGCAAUGGGUUGUUCUCAAACCCCCUGCCGAGUAUCAAUUGGAGGGCAAGCCCGGUGCCAGCAGCUGCGGUAAUUCCGGCUCCAAUAGCAUAUAUGAAUGUUGUUGCGGUUAAAAAGCUCGUAGUUGGAUUCAGGGUUCCAGAUGGCUGUGGGGAGUCCGCGCUGGCCCGGCGGGCGUGCCCCCCUUUCGGGGGGAGCCGUCCGUCGUGCCGCGCGGGAGAAACCUCCCCACGCUCGGCCAUCGCCCUCGUCAUGUGGAACAAGUCGCCCGGCCCGAAGCCCACUUCACUGGGGGUGGAGGGCACCCUUCGCAGUGCACGCCCGGGGCUCGCCCCGGCGAUACUGCCUACGGGCUGUCCACAGCAGUUACUGUGAGUAAAACAGAGUGCUCAAGGCGACCGACUCGUUCGGUUCGAAUGAGGCAGCAUGGAAUAACAAGGGAUCGUCCGCUUUGGCGGCGCCUUUUGUUGGUUUUCGAGCCCCAGUGAGGCAAUGCGGUGCAGGCGGCUCUCUCCGGGGGUCCGGGGUCGCCCUCGGGCGGCCCCGCUCCCGGCAGGAGCCCCUGCACCAUUGGGAUCAAUAGGGGCAGAUGGGGAACUCCGUACUGCGUGGCGAGGGGUGAAAUCCUUAGACCCACGCAAGACGAACCUCAGCGAAGGCAGUGUUCCAAUCUGCCUUCAUUAAUCAAGAACGAGAGUAAGGGGAUCGAAGAUGAUCAGAUACCGUCGUAGUCCUUUACCGUAAAUUAUGCGGACUUGGGGUCGGUCGCUGUUCUCUCUAGCGACUCGAUCGGUACCUCCCUUGGAUCGAGAAAUCAAAGUUUAUGCGUUCCGGGGGGAGUACAUUCGCAAGGCUGAAACUUAAAGGAAUUGACGGAAUGACACCACCAGACGUGGAGUGUGUGGCUUAAUUUGACUCAACACGGGAAAUCUCACCAGGUCAGGACAUGGUCAGGAUAGCCAGACUGAGAGCUCUUGCUUGAUCCCAUGGAGGGUGGUGCAUGGCCGUUCUUGGUUGGUGGAGUGAUUUGUCUGCUUAAUUGCGUUAACGAACGAGAUCUCUGCCAAUAAAUAGACGCCAUCUCCGCGUCGUAGGCGGGGGGCCCCCGGACCGCGGGUUCGCUCGCGGCCCCGGGGGAUCCAUCCCCCGCUGAGGAGAUGGGAUGCUUACUUAUUGGGAUCAUGCACUCUUCCAAGUGCAUUGAAACUAGAGCCAAUAGCAGGUCUGUGAUGCUCCUUAUAUGUUCUGGGCUGCACGCGCACUACACUGGUCCGGACAACGAGUCAUCGUUCCGUACGCCCUGGGUUGAAGAGCCCGGGAAAUCUUUGAAGCCCGGACCGUGAUGGGGAUAGAUGAUUGCAAUUAUUCCUCUUGAACGAGGAAUGUCUCGUAGGUGCGUCUCAUCAGGACGUACCGAUUAUGUCCCUGCCAUUUGUACACACCGCCCGUCGUUGCUACCGAUUGGUUUGCGAAUAGAACCAUUUGGAGUGCUGCCCCGCAGGGCCUCGGCCCGAAGGGCGGCGCGAAAUCUGGUGAUAUUCACAAACUAGAGGAAGCAAAAGUCGUAACAAGGUUGCUGUAGGUGAACCUGCAGCAGGAUCAUU